CCUACGGGUGGCAGCAGUCGAGAAUCAUUCACAAUGGGGGAAACCCUGAUGGUGCGACGCCGCGUGGGGGAAUGAAGGUCUUCGGAUUGUAAACCCCUGUCAUGUGGGAGCAAAUUAAAAAGAUAGUACCACAAGAGGAAGAGACGGCUAACUCUGUGACAGCAGCCGCGGUAAUACAGAGGUCUCAAGCGUUGUUCGGAAUCACUGGGCGUAAAGCGUGCGUAGGCUGUUUCGUAAGUCGUGUGUGAAAGGCGCGGGCUCAACCCGCGGACGGCAUAUGAUACUGCGAGACUAGAGUGAUGGAGGGGGAACCGGAAUUCUCGGUGUAGCAGUGAAAUGCGUAGAUAUCGAGAGGAACACUCGUGGCGAAGGCGGGUUCCUGGACAUUAACUGACGCUGAGGCACGAAGGCCAGGGGAGCGAAAGGGAUUAGAUACCCUUGUAGUC
rnacentral:rRNA from 1 species